rnacentral:rRNA from 1 species
AUGGCAUGGAGGAAGAAGAACGGCGGCGAGUCGUUUUCGCCCGGCGCCUCGCCGUGUCGCGACGACGAGCAGGAGAAGGUCCCUAGAGGGCACGUCCCGAUGGUCACCGGCUGCGGCGCGCGCGUGGUGGUGCCGGUCAGGCUGCUCCGGGACCCUCGCAUCGCUGAGCUCCUAGACAUGGCGGCGCAGCAGUACGGGUACGGCCAGCCGGGCGUGCUGCGGAUCCCGUGCGACGCCGGGCAUUUCCGCCGGAUCGUCGACGGCGCGCUGCACAGGGCCGAAUAG